rnacentral:rRNA from 1 species
GAUGAACGCUGGCGGCGUGCUUAACACAUGCAAGUCGAACGGAAAGGCCGAAGCUUGCUUCGGUACUCGAGUGGCGAACGGGUGAGUAACACGUGGGUGAGCUGCCCUGUACUUCGGGAUAAGCUUGGGAAACUGGGUCUAAUACCGGAUAUGACGAUCUCUUGGAUGGGGUUGUGGAAAGCUUUUGCGGUAUGGGAUGAGCUCGCGGCCUAUCAGCUUGUUGGUGGGGUAAUGGCCUACCAAGGCGUCGACGGGUAGCCGGCCUGAGAGGGUGUACGGCCACAUUGGGACUGAGAUACGGCCCAGACUCCUACGGGAGGCAGCAGUGGGGAAUAUUGCACAAUGGGCGCAAGCCUGAUGCAGCGACGCCGCGUGGGGGAUGACGGCCUUCGGGUUGUAAACUCCUUUCGCAAUCGACGAAGCCUUUUGGUGACGGUAGGUUGAGAAGAAGCACCGGCUAACUACGUG